rnacentral:lncRNA from 10 species
GAUGGUCUCGAUCUCCUGACCUCGUGAUCCACCCGCCUCGGCCUCCCAAAGUGCUGGGAUUACAAGCGUGAGCCACCGCGCCCGGCCAAAUUUGGAUUUUCUUAAUGCUCAUCAGCGAAGGGGUGAUGCAUAGCUGGACCUGAGUGUUCGAAAUGGGCCAAAGAGCAUGAUGCAUUCAUAGCGUCUACUAGUCAAUUCUGGCACAAAUUAGGAAGUAGAAGGCAUGUUCAAUGGAGGCAAAACAGUAAUAUAUAUAUAAACAUGUGGGUAAGUCUAAAGAAGCAUUUGCUAUAUUGAAUCAAACAAAUACAAUAAAGUAAAACAAAUACUAGAGAACAUCGUUAAGCUGAGUUAAGUUUGGCUCAAAGUGCCCAUUGUACUUGCCUAAUUAAGUUUGGCCCAAAGCGGCAUCCAUACAUAGUGACUGUACUCUAACUUAAUGUGUAGAUAAGUUGUAAGCUAAUGUAGAUAUAUGGACUUGUAACCAAGCAACUGAGACUCAACCAAUCAUAGGAGCCAAACCCUUAGUCAAUCCUAGGCUGAAUGCUGCCAAAUUAUGCCCAAAUAAGGCAAAUAUUGAACUGCACCAAUCAGGGAAACUCUGAAUAUAAUUGUAUAUGUUCUGGUUAUAAAUACAUCUCACCACUCUGGAUGUGGAGUCACUCUGAACAAUCUUUGUUCUGGGAUGGUGCCUACUUCUCAAACCUUUUUCUUGGUCAAAUAAACUUAGUGAAAUUUAACAUGUCUUAGUUGCAUUUUUUUUAAACAACAUUCAAAGACCUACAAAAUAGGACAGGGAACUUGUAUUUAGACUAUACUGUCUAAAUGCAACGUAUUUAUGCUAGUUAUUUGUGUGUUAUAGAGAAUAUAGUGAUAUUGAUAUACUUUAAGUCAUUUAUGUACAUCGGGAAGAGGAAAAAAAAGUUACCCAAUUCAAUGGAAGUCAAACGAAGAAGCAGAACAGAGCUACCAGAAAAACAUGAUAAGAGUUAAAGAAGAUGGGAGCUCAAAGAGGAAAACUGUCACUGAAUUUGGGGAACUUUUCCUUGCAAGCCAAGUUAACUUUUAUUCAGAUAGAAUUCUCAGAUGAAAAAGAAAUUAUAGUCUAUGGCUGACAAAAUAUAGAGAGUCUGCCCAGAGACUUUUGCUAUUCUAAGCUAGAAUCAUAAGGUUAAUACACUCCAAUGAAGGAGAAAACAAGAACCAGCUCUUGAGCAUACUUGAAGUCUGGGACCAAAUCUGAGUUGUUCAGAUACUCAUAUUUUCACCCUGAUUUAAGAUGAUCUGAUAUGGGUAAUGCUUGCAUAAGCAAAACUUCUGGAGGAACUUACCUCCAUAGUAGACAACAAGGUAAUCUUAAACUAUCCUGACACUAAUUGGGUGUAUAAACUUGGCCAAGUAAUUUUUCCCUUUGAGUCUCAGUUUCCUCAACUGUAACGUGAAUAUGAAAGUAACUAACUUGUAGGUCUAUAUUAAAAAUAAAGUCAAUUAUUUUGGU